rnacentral:lncRNA from 1 species
CCUCCGUCACAGCACCGCCCCCCCGCCCCGACGCAGCACCAUUGUCAGCCACGCGGUGGCGCCAAGACACAGACUGUCAGGUUUUCCGCAGACUUUGGGGAGCAGAGAUGACAGGAGAGAUGCGGAGGAGACUCUCCUGUAGGACCCUUGGAAGGAAACAAGACGCCAGGUCUAGCGUUUGGGGAUCCUCUGGACAAGGCCACAGAGGGACAAAGCCAGGUGAGGACCUCACUGCCCUCAGGCCCUCCUCCCUUAAGCACCUGGAUUUAGCCUUUUUCUCCCUGCUCUCCGUCUGGAACCAGAUUCAGA